rnacentral:rRNA from 1 species
GCUAAGAAUAUUCCGCAAUGGACGGAAGUCUGACGGAGCGACGCCGCGUGGAUGACGAAGGCCGAAAGGUUGUAAAGUUCUUUUGCUGGGGAAGAAUAACCGCAGGAGGGAAUGCCUGUGGGAUGACAAGAACCGGCGAAUAAGCCCCGGCCAACUACGUGCCAGCAGCCGCGGUAACACGUAGGGGGCGAGCGUUGUUCGGAAUUACUGGGCGUAAAGGGCAUGUAGGCGGCUUGGAAAGCCUGGCGUGAAAGUCUGCAGCUUAACUGCAGGGGUGCGCUGGGAACUGCUGAGCUUGAGUGACGGAGAGGGAGCUGGAAUUCCUGGUGUAGGGGUGAAAUCUGUAGAUAUCAGGAAGAACACCGAUGGCGAAGGCAAGCUCCUGGCCGAUGACUGACGCUGAGGUGCGAAAGUGUGGGGAUCAAACAGGAUUAGAUACCCCAGUAGUCC